rnacentral:misc_RNA from 1 species
CUGUCAAAUAGGAUAAAUCACAAAGUUGAGAAAUGUAUUAGUAACCAUGACAUGUGUAUGACUUGCAUGACAAUGAAUUACUACAGUACAAAUGAGAGAUCAACAUUGUAUGGCCAGUUGGCCACACACGAGGUUUUUAAUAACUGAAAAUUUCAUAUAAGAGAGAGAGUGUGAGUAUUCUGUGUAUAUAUAUGAUCACCAAUUUUGGAAUAAAAGUCAUGUUAUAAAAUUCAAUUUAAUUCUAUAAACUGAAUUUAACUCAAUUAAUUUUGUGAUAGAAUUCACAUGUUUCGAAGAACUCUUAAAAUGAUAGAGUUCAAUUGAAUUUUAGUGUUUGGAAUAACUGAGAAAUGAUUUGAAUUUAUGUAAUUUCCUAUGCUAACCCAAUUAAGAAUACACAGUUGCUUUUAACGGCCUUUUGUCUUUCUUUUUCAAUGAUGGGACCCACCACCACUAAACCAAACGGAUUAAAUUGUUGUGUAGUCACUCCAUUUUUAUAGUGAUUUCCAAUUGUUGCAAAAUGAUUCUUUUAAGAAAUAAAUUCUCACUUAAAAGAGGUUUUCUAGCAUGAAAAUGAGCAAAUAAAAUAGAAUAGAGUAGAAUUGAGUUCUCGCAUAAGACUUCAAACAUGAUGUAUAUAUUAUAUUGUUCAUUUGUUAUAUAAUUCAUCUACUAUUUUCUUGUUUAUUAUUGCCUUCUGGUUACGUAUUAAUGAUGGGAACUGACUAAACCAGCCUCCAAGGCUAUGCAUUCAAAAACACUGGUUCACAAUUAGGAAAAGAUUGUUAUAUGCUCAUCUUCUUUAUUCAUUCUUUCCCUUCCUCCUAGCCAAUGCUAUAACAAAAAUUGUAUUCUUUCCACAUGAGAAGGCUCAAAGGUGUUCUU